CUCGGGGCACCGGGCAGCCUGCGGAGAGAACAAGGGGAGAUAAGCUUGAAGACCGCGGACCAGCACAACUGCACCUCGGGCAGAGCCAGCCAUCUGGAAGGGUCUACGCCCCACCGGUCGCUGGUUACCCAGGGCAGCAGCUCCAACUGCACUGUCCCCCAAAGACCCUAGGGCUCGCAGGAUGAAAUGGGGCCUGCUGCCUUUUGGGGGUAUUUGUUUCCGAAUACGGAGGCUCCGAAGUGCGAAAGGAGCAUGUCAGCUGUGCCUGAGACUCCACACCUGAGCCCUUCCGAGCUGAUCCCUUCCCAGCUGAGCCUGGAGCCUGAGGACAAGCCAGGUCCUAGCCCCACACAGAGGAGGCACCGGGAGUCAGCAGCAUCUCAAGCUGUAUUAACAGGGGAAAACAGUUCUCCCAUUUUCAGAGAACCAAGGCAAUCUUUCCCCCAAGAAAAUCACCUUGCUGGCCAGGCACAGUGGCUCAUGAGACAGGAGGAUCGCUUGAGGCCAGGAGUUCUAGACCAGCCUGAACAACAUAUUGAGACAAAACAACAAGCCAGGCGCUGUGGCGCAGGCCUGUGGUCCCAGCUACUCAGGAGGCUGAGGCGGGAGGAUGGUGUGGGCCCAGAAGUUUGAGGCUGCAGUAAGCUAUGAUCAUGUCACUGUACUCCAGCCUGGGCAACAGAGCAAGAUCCUGUCUCAAAAAAAAAAA
rnacentral:lncRNA from 1 species